UAAGGUGACUAUUGCGGUGGGGACCACCUCUUCCCAUUCCGAACAGAGUCGUUAAGCCCACCCGCGCCAAUGGUACUAGGAUAACACCUGGGAGAGUAGGUCGUCGCCUGAC
rnacentral:rRNA from 1 species